rnacentral:rRNA from 1 species
AAUAGAUACCCUGGUAGUCCAUGCCGUAAACGUUGGGAACUAGAUGUAGGGUCCAUUCCACGGAUUCUGUGUCGCAGCUAACGCAUUAAGUUCCCCGCCUGGGGAGUACGGCCGCAAGGCUAAAACUCAAAGGAAUUGACGGGGGCCCGCACAAGCGGCGGAGCAUGCGGAUUAAUUCGAUGCAACGCGAAGAACCUUACCAAGGCUUGACAGAUACCGGAAACGGCUGGAAACAGUCGCCCCGCAAGGUCGGUAUACAGGUGGUGCAUGGUUGUCGUCAGCUCGUGUCGUGAGAUGUUGGGUUAAGUCCCGCAACGAGCGCAACCCUCGUUCUUUGUUGCCAGCACGUCAUGGUGGGAACUCAAAGGAGACUGCCGGGGUCAACUCGGAGGAAGGUGGGGAUGACGUCAAAUCAUCAUGCCCCUUAUGUCUUGGGCUUCACGCAUGCUACAAUGGCCGGUACAAAGGGCUGCAAUACCGUAAGGUGAGCGAAUCCCAAAAAGCCGGUCUCAGUUCGGAUUGAGGUCUGCAACUCGA